rnacentral:misc_RNA from 1 species
UUUCCGUAGGUGAACCUGCGGAAGGAUCAUUAUCGUAAAACCGAGGUGCGAGGGCUGUCGCUGACCUUUUCGGUCGUGCACGCCCGAGCGCUCUCACACAAUCCAUCUCACCCCUUGUGCACCACCGCGUGGGUCCCUUUCUGGCUCGUCCGGAGGGGGGCUCGCGUAUUCACACAAACUUGAAGUAGUGUAGAAUGUCCUUUUUUUGCGAUAACACGCAAUCAAUACAACUUUCAACAACGGAUCUCUUGGCUCUC